rnacentral:lncRNA from 10 species
CUGUAUUUGGUUAUUUAAAAGAAGAGGGGGAGGUAAAACGUAAGAAGGCCAGAGCACCUGGGACCUUGUUUUACUAAAGCUUAUUAUGUUUCAGUGGCCCUGGUUCCCCAUGACAAAAGUACAAAGAGUACCCGCAAGAAGUAAGUUGAAGAUAAGGAGUGAGGAGAAGGAAGGUUAGUGGUAAGGCCACCAGUGAUUCUAACAGCAAAGGGACAAGAAAAAAGACUGGAACUUUAUUUAGAGGAUAAAGCUGAUGCCUGGCUUGCCAUCUUGCCCAGAUGGGACCUCAGGCAUAGGUUCCUAACUGUGAAUAUCCUGAUUUUGAAGAAAACAGUAGAUUAAUUUCAACUGCUGGCAGCUUUCACUUGACCUUGCAAAGGUUACAAUUAUCCAGAAAUCUCAUACCUAUGAGGGAAGCCAACUUCUGUGUCAUGAGGACAUUCAAGCAGCACUAUGGAGCCAUCCAUGUGGCUAGGAGCUGAAACUGAGCCAAGAAGCAGUGAGGAACUGGCUGGUAACAGCCAUGUGGGAAGAAAUUGUGUUUUGGAAUUGGGCCAACAGUAUGUGUUUCUCCGGUGGAUAAGCAAAAUUUCAUAAGAACAAAGAUGAUUCAAGCAGAUGUUUAUCAUGAAACUGCCAUAAAAAGCACCCGAAGUCACAAAGAUAAACAUCAAAUCCAGUCCUUGGAAAUUUCCCCCACCCUACCUGAGCAUCUUUUGAAGUAGAUAUUCAAUUAUUUUGAAGGAUUUUUAAAGAAUUUUCUAGAUUUCAUCUAAAAGACACUUUUGAAAUCUGCGUUAAAAUUCAUGGAAAUAUAUCCUAGAUGAAUUUGGAGGAAUGUAAGCAAGUAGGUACAAACCUUUAUUUUAUCCCUCAGUGACUCACUCAGUUGUGAAUAGGAAGGGCUCUCUGUGAUCUGGCCACAGCUUAUUUCUUGCCACAUUCCUAUUUUCAGUCCUCUUCCAAUCAUGUGGAACUUCCAGCAUCUCCUUACACAUGCCAUGUUAUUUCACACUUUUGUGACUUUGCUCAUAUUUUUCUCUCUCCCUGGAAAGCUCCCCGACAACCUCCACUGCCAUUACCCACUAGGCAAGUACAUCCUGUUUUCAGAAUCAGCCCAAUAUCAUCUUUCCUAGGGAAUCUUGUCAGACUGCCCUUCAUUACCAACAGACAAAAUAACUACCUUAUCUUUGGUUCUGUCUUCACUCUAGACCUAUGUAGCAUGCUACUUAUAACACUGCAUUGGUUUGUUGGCAUUUGUAUUUUCCACUGAGCAACCAUAACUUAUGUGUAGACAAAAAUUGUAUUGCUCACCUUUGGAUUACUAGGACCUAGCAGUGUUCUGAUUCAGAGUAUGUACUCAAUAAAUUCAUCUUGAAAAGUGAAUGAAUGAAUAAAUGAACGCCUGCAUCUCCAUCAUUGAUUUACUAUUUAAUCAGUGAAGUUUUUAAAUUAUAUUCCCCCAUAUCUUGAGAUUUGAUCUUGUGUUAAAUCAGUUGCACAUAUUAGACAUUACUUUGUCCUUUUCACUUCUCCUUAGCACAUAUGGGCUAUAUAAUCUUUAUAAAGGUUAAAGAAAUAUAUUGUAAUAUGUUAUAACACAAUCAAGAUACAUCUGAAACAACAUAGUGCAGGCACUAUUUCCGAUGUUCAACAUCAUGCUGGAGUAAAACUUAGAGACUCUUGGAAAAAAGAAAUACUUAAAUAAUGUCACCAGUGUAAUGUGCUACAUUGUAAUGGUGUUAUGCUUAUUACAUGUGUUAUCUAGUAAUGCACAAAAAGCCUAAUGGAUUUGCUCAUAUUUUCCUCAUGUGCAAAUGAAAACACUGAGUCUCAGAGAGAUUAAAUAAAUUGCCAAAUGUCAUGUCAAGCGAUUUUGAUCCUGGUAUUUCUAAUAUAAAAGCCCAUGUUUUAAUUUAUUAACUGUUUGACAUAUAACAAUAAUAGAUCAUUACAUGUUAAUAUAAAUAACCUAUGUAUGAAGACUAAUUAUAUUUUUACUUCUGCAUUCAAUCAACUGCAACAUGUCAUUUUGGUUGAUGUGUACAGAAAAUACUCAACAUCUCGCAGAUAUUGGGUUGGAAAACAGAGGACAUUUUUAUAUCUGUUUCAGAUAAAUGUAUAUAUUUUUCUUUGAUAGUACACCAAAAUUUGACAAGUGACUAUUUCUUAAAGGGUAGUUGCAGCAUGAAAUCCAAAAUAACAUCAAUAAACUUUUCAUUCUCUGUUACACUAAAAUUCAUUGGUUUUAUCUUACACAAAGUGUGGAUGAUUUUGUAACAUCAUGUGUUGGUCAUUUAGAAAACAUUAUUCCACUGGGUUAUGCAGAUUUUCUAAAUGCUGACACAUUUCAUUUUAUAAUUUCAAAAAUGAACAUUUAUUAAUGUCACCAAUAUCAUCAAAAUGUUUGAACUACUGGGACGCAUCAAGUUCAUUCUGGUAGACACACAUUUUUCAACAUGUAACUCUUCCUUGAAAACUCAAAUUUUAUCAUUGACAACAAAUGCGGUCAGUUGUUUUCCUUGAAUUAUCAAACUCACUUUGCUCAUUUUUGAGAAAAUAUUUGCCAAUUAUCCAAGUCUGAAUAGACAUGGUUUCUUUGUCAAUGUUCGUUCUUUUAAUGGUGUUUUCUGAAGAAAAGUGUAGUUCAUUUGCAACUCACUGGCACAAAUGCUUUUCUUCCAGACAACCAUCAUAGUUGAGUAAG